CCUACGGGCGGCAGCAGUGAGGAAUAUUGGUCAAUGGACGCAAGUCUGAACCAGCCAUGCCGCGUGCAGGAAGACGGCUCUAUGAGUUGUAAACUGCUUUUGUACGAGGGUAAACGCAGAGACGCGUAUCUGUCUGAAAGUAUCGGACGAAUAAGGAGCGGCUAACUCCGUGCCAGCAGCCGCGGUAAUACGGAGGAUUCAAGCGUUAUCCGGAGUUAUGGGGGUUAAAGGGUGCGUAGGCGGUCGGAUAAGUUAGAGGUGAAAUCCCUCGGCUCAACUUCGGAAUUGCCUCUGAUACUGUUCGUCUAGAGCGUAGUUGCGGUAGGCGUAAUGUCUGGUGUAGCGGUGACAUGCUUA
rnacentral:rRNA from 1 species